CAGUCGCCGCGGGAAAACGAAGGGGGCUAGCGUUGCUCGGAAUGACUGGGCGUAAAGGGCGCGUAGGCGGUUCGUACAGUUGGAUGUGAAAUUCCUGGGCUUAACCUGGGGGCUGCAUUCAAUACGUGCGGGCUUGAGUGUGGAAGAGGGUUGUGGAAUUCCCAGUGUAGAGGUGAAAUUCGUAGAUAUUGGGAAGAACACCGGUGGCGAAGGCGGCGACCUGGUCCUUGACUGACGCUGAGGCGCGAAAGCGUGGGGAGCAAACAGGAUUAGAUACCCCGGUAGUCCCUGUCUCUUAUAC
rnacentral:rRNA from 1 species